AAAACCAUAAAAACACAGAAAAGUAUUGCGUCAGAAGUCAAGCAAGGUCAGGCUGAUAUUAACAGUGUGCGCUGCUUCAAUUGCUUUCAAUACGGUCAUUACCAAGAUGCAUGUACAGCUCCGAGACGACAACCAAAUUCGUGUUUCGUAUGUGCUGAGGUUGGGCAUACUCGCCAUAAUUGCCCUCGUCGUGGUGGAUCAAAUAAUUCAAAGGUGGCAGCUGCAGUUGGAGAUGAUGAGGAACCCGAACGAUGCCAGUUAGCUGAACGUUUAGCUCCUAAUAAUUUGCUUUGUUUGACACGGGCAGUCCUAUCAGUUUCAUUAGAAGAUCAUGUGUGCCCGCAACGGUUGAAGUAAAUGUUGAUUGGAAACUAUCGUGCUACCGUGGAAUGGAUUCUGAGGCUGUGGUGCCGUUGUUGGUGGGGCGUGAUCUUUUGGGAAGGAUGGGAGUUGGUUUGUGUCAGAUAGAGACAAUUAGAUAUACGAAAUAUGAUCUGUUGAAAAUGAAUGAUCAAAAUAAAAUUUCUAUAGCGGACAAUGUCAUAAGUGCCCUUCGACUUUUUGAU